rnacentral:lncRNA from 1 species
UGCUAAGAGCAGGUGAAAACUAGAAAUAAAUCUAUAUGGGGCCUUAUUUUCUUCAGUAGCUAGCUGCUUUGUGGUGGGGCAUUUAUACCGCUCUUUAUCAGAGCUCUCAGGUGCCAACUGAGUACAAGCCACAAGAGGGAGGAAAUGUCAAGAUUUGGGCAUUCUUACUACAUACGGUUUGUAUUUUUAUCAACAUACUUCAACUGCGGAAAUGCUUACCCUUGAAGAUAAGGAAAACAACCACUCACUUCAUCAGGAAGACAUAUACAAAAUUUCUAUAAAAGCCUUGAACUUUUUGUAGCAGCUUCCUGCAAGCCACAAAUGACAGUUCUACAAUGUAAGGAGAGCAACUGAGAUCUUUCAGCCUUGUUUUGUCGAUAGAUUCCUUUCUGCUCUGUUAACAACCCACUCAAGCCCUCUGACAUGGGGCUAAAAGCCAGGGACAUCACUAUCGGUUAUCAUGGCUGCUUCAGGACAAAGACCGCCUUUUGAAGUCCCUUUUGUGUUUAUUCAAAGCAGCACAUAUUCAGAGCAGAGAGAACUAAGCAUGCGGCGACAUGAGAUUUUUGUGCUGAUUCCCCUGUGGAGGAAACAAGGAAAAGAGAAGCAUAGAGUUCCGAAUUCAUGUACUGUUUCCAUUUCUCAUGAGAUGGUGACCAAUUUUUGUUUCAUUGUGCAACUGAUUGAGUAA